UGUUAAAAUUUUUAUCCAAAUUUACUCUUAAAAGCUAGCAUGAGUGAUAAAAUAACCAAAUAAUUACAUGUUGAUAUACAUAGACCAAUUUUUAACUAUAGAAAUAGAUGAAAAUUUUAACA
rfam:Gossypium hirsutum cultivar TM-1 chromosome 20, whole genome shotgun sequence